rnacentral:lncRNA from 1 species
CUAACACUAAAAGUUCAAAUGUUCUCUCCGUUCAAAGUUCAAAAUGUCCGUUAGAUGUUCUUCAGUUCCAUAUGUUGUAUAGUUCCAUCUGUUUCAUACACACAAUAUAGUUCCACAAUUCGUCGUUGUUGUCCGCCGUCGCCAUUGCCAUCUUGGCUGUCGUCAUCGUCCAUCGUCUCCGUGGGGACGAGUUGCUUUUCCGUCGUUAAAAGGUUACCUCGUUUGUUUUCUCGUUCCUUUCUAAUAACAAAUUAUUGACUUCUGCUUCUAAUCUCUCUUUCUCUCUGAAUCUUUCUUCUCAUACGAAACUGGUUGUAUUUAUAGCAUUGAUCAUUUAAACGAACGAGGAACAACUGGGAGAUCUUUUCCCACAGUAGUUCCCGGUCCUCCAUGAUUAAGGGCGCUAUACGCGCUCCGACCAGACUACCUAUAC